GUUUAUUUCUGCACAUCGUGCCGUUGGGUUUAACCAGCAGGAUGAUAGUGGAGUCGAAAUGGAAAUCUCUCUGUUAGGUUUGAGGAUUAAAGUAAAUAUGGAGAAACAACAUCGCUUACAGAGCGCAGACUUCAGAGUGGCCAAUGUGGUGCUUCUCAUGAGCAUUAUAGUCACUUAAACACUGUUUAUACUGAAAAAAAUCCAAGUCACAUUUGAAAGCUAUGAUCUCAGCAGUGGCUUUGAUCCCAUAAUAAGACUGAAUAAAAGGCUCAACAAAAACACAGUGUGUGAAGAACGGUAGAGGAGCGCUACCCAGUAAUUUUCAGAGACAUUAAUGCCAGUUGGAGAGACUACAAGGAGAAAGUCCUCCAACUUUCAGUGCCAUUAAAUUUAAGAAAACCUGUGUAACCUGGCAAAUCUCCAGUGACACGAGCUGAGUGCUGCAGACCUCACAACAGACAGCGAACUGACCAUUUGCAUCCUCGCCUCUCUCUGCAUGCCAUUGUAAAAAAUGUUCUUGUGCAUUCGGUCAAAAAUGCUCAAAUAGAUUGCUUUGGACUUCCACAGCCUGGUCUCUAAUUUUACACAUCAGCAGAUUGUUCUGACUGACCCUGCUUCCAAAGGUGGACGUGAAGAACAAUGGCAAGAGAGCAAGUGCUGAGCGUAUUUAAAGCACAAUAAUGGGAAGUGCUGAUGGCCUCCAAUUUCCAUUGAGUCCUUUUCCUUCCCCUGGCAAGACCUAUGUCGUGUCACUGUCACUGCGCGACUGGAUCCUGGUGCUGUGAGCCCCUUCA